CCUACGGGAGGCAGCAGUGGGGAAUAUUGCACAAUGGGGGAAACCCUGAUGCAGCAACGCCGCGUGAGUGAGGAAGUAUUUCGGUAUGUAAAGCUCUAUCAGCAGGGAAUAGAAAAGAAGGUACCCGAAAAAAAAGCCCCGGCUAACUACGUGCCAGCAGCCCCGGUAAUACGCUGGGGGGAAGCGUUAUCCGGAUUUACUGGGGGUAAAGGGAGCGUAGACGGUAAGGCAAGUCAGAAGUGAAAGCCCAAGGCUCAACCCUGGGACUGCUUUUUAAACUGUCGAACUAGAGUACGGGAGAGGGAAGAGGAAUUCCUAGUGUAGCGGUGAAAUGCGUAGAUAUUAGGAGGAACACCAGUGGCGAAGGCGUCUUGCUGGACCGAAACUGACGUUGAGGCUCGAAAGCGUGGGGAGCAAACAGGAUUAGAUACCCGAGUAGUC
rnacentral:rRNA from 1 species